GGGGAAUUUUGGACAAUGGGGGCAACCCUGAUCCAGCAAUGCCGCGUGAGUGAAGAAGGCCUUCGGGUUGUAAAGCUCUUUUGUCAGGGAAGAAACGGUUCUGGAUAAUACCUGGGACUAAUGACGGUACCUGAAGAAUAAGCACCGGCUAACUACGCGCCAGCAGCCGCGGUAAUACGUAGGGUGCAAGCGUUAAUCGGAAUUACUGGGCGUAAAGCGUGCGCAGGCGGUUGUGUAAGUCAGAUGUGAAAUCCCCGGGCUCAACCUGGGAAUUGCAUUUGAGACUGCACGGCUAGAGUGUGUCAGAGGGGGGUAGAAUUCCACGUGUAGCAGUGAAAUGCGUAGAUAUGUGGAGGAAUACCGAUGGCGAAGGCAGCCCCCUGGGAUAACACUGACGCUCAUGCACGAAAGCGUGGGGAGCAAAC
rnacentral:rRNA from 1 species